rnacentral:tRNA from 1 species
GGGGCUGUAGCUCAUUGGUAGAGCACUUGCCUAGCACACAUGAGACACUGGGUUCAAGCCUCAGCACCA